rnacentral:piRNA from 1 species
GUUUUUAAAAAUGUUUUCUGGGGAAAGGG